rnacentral:rRNA from 1 species
CCUACGGGUGGCUGCAGUGGGGAAUAUUGCGCAAUGGGCGAAAGCCUGACGCAGCGACGCCGCGUGAGGGAUGAAGGUCUUCGGAUCGUAAACCUCUGUCAGCAGGGAAGAACGGUCACUGUGCUAAUCAGUAGUGACUUGACGGUACCUGAACAGGAAGCACCGGCUAACUCCGUGCCAGCAGCCGCGGUAAUACGGAGGGUGCGAGCGUUAAUCGGAAUUACUGGGCGUAAAGCGCUCGUAGGCGGUAUGUCAAGUCAAGGGUGAAAUCCCCGCGCUCAACGUGGGAACUGCCUUUGAAACUGGCAAACUUGAGUGUGUGAGAGGAUAGUGGAAUUCCAGGUGUAGGAGUGAAAUCCGUAGAUAUCUGGAGGAACAUCAGUGGCGAAGGCGACUAUCUGGCACAUAACUGACGCUGAGGAGCGAAAGCGUGGGUAGCAAACAGGAUUAGAUACCCUUGUAGUC